AGAGUUUGAUCAUGGCUCAGAACGAACGCUGGCGGCGUGCUUAAUACAUGCAAGUCGAGCGAGAAAGUUCCCUUCGGGGGAUGAGUACAGCGGCGAACGGGUGCGUAACACGUGGGCAACCUGCCCCUAAGUUCGGGACAAGCUUCCGAAAGGAGGUCUAAUACCGGAUGUGGUUGCUGGAAGGCAUCUUCCGGCAAGCAAAGAUAGCCACUACUCGUAAGCUAUCGCUUAGGGAUGGGCCCGCGGCCCAUUAGCUUGUUGGUGAGGUAACGGCUCACCAAGGCUCCGAUGGGUAGCCGGCCUGAGAGGGUGAUCGGCCACACUGGGACUGAGAUACGGCCCAGACUCCUACGGGAGGCAGCAGUAGGGAAUAUUGCGCAAUGGACGCAAGUCUGACGCAACAACGCCGCGUGAGCGAUGAAGGUCUUCGGAUCGUAAAGCUCUGUCAGAGGGGACGAACCGUUCCGUGCUUAAUAAGCACGGGGCCUGACGGUACCCUCAGAGGAAGCACCGGCCAACCCCGUGCCAGCAGCCGCGGUAAUACGGGGGGUGCGAGCGUUGUUCGGAUUUACUGGGCGUAAAGGGCGUGCAGGCGGGUCGACAAGUCCUGUGUGUAAUCUCCCGGCUCAACCGGGAAACUGCAUGGGAAACUAUUGAUCUUGAGUGCGAGAGAGGAUGGCGGAAUUCCUGGUGUAGCGGUGAAAUGCGUAGAUAUCAGGAGGAACACCGGUGGCGAAGGC
rnacentral:rRNA from 1 species